UAGGGAAUCUUCGGCAAUGGACGAAAGUCUGACCGAGCAACGCCGCGUGAGUGAAGAAGGUUUUCGGAUCGUAAAACUCUGUUGGUAGAGAAGAACGCUGGUGAGAGUGGAAAGCUCAUCAAGUGACGGUAACUACCCAGAAAGGGACGGCUAACUACGUGUCAG
rnacentral:rRNA from 1 species